CCCGGGUCUUGUACACACCGCCCGUCACACCAUGGGAGUGGGUUCUACCAGAAGUAGGUAGGCUAACCGCAAGGGGGCCGUUGCCGAAGGUAUGGGUGGUGAUUGGGAUG
rnacentral:rRNA from 1 species